rnacentral:rRNA from 1 species
UACGUAGGGUGCGAGCGUUAAUCGGAAUUACUGGGCGUAAAGCGUGCGCAGGCGGUUUUGUAAGCCAGGUGUGAAAUCCCCGGGCUUAACCUGGGAAUGGCAUUUGGGACUGCAAGGCUGGAGUGUGGCAGAGGAGACUGGAAUUCCUGGUGUAGCAGUGAAAUGCGUAGAUAUCAGGAGGAAUACCGAUGGCGAAGGCAGGUCUCUGGGCUGACACUGACGCUCAUGCACGAAAGCGUGGGGAGCAAACAGG